rnacentral:misc_RNA from 1 species
GUGAGUCAUCGAAUCUUUGAACGCACAUUGCGCCCCUUGGCAUUCCGAGGGGCAUGCCCGUUCGAGCGUCAUUAUAACCCUCAAGCCUCGCUUGGUGUUGGGGCCUGCGGUCACCGGCAGCCCCUAAAAUCAGUGGCGGUGCCCGUCGGGCUCUGAGCGUAGUACUCCUUCUCGCUACAGGGCCCUGGUGGGUGCUGGCCAUCAACCCCUACUUUCUGUGGUUGACCUCGGAUCGGGUAGGGAUACCCGCUGAACUUAAGCAUAUCAAUAAGCGGAGGA